GACGAACGCUGGCGGCGUGCCUAAUACAUGCAAGUAGAACGCUGAAGGAGGAGCUUGCUUCUCUGGAUGAGUUGCGAACGGGUGAGUAACGCGUAGGUAACCUGCCUGGUAGCGGGGGAUAACUAUUGGAAACGGUAGCUAAUACCGCAUAAGAGUAGAUGUUGCAUGACAUUUGCUUAAAAGGAGCAAUUGCAUCAAUACCAGAUGGACCUGGGUUGUAUUAGCUAGUUGGGGGGGUAACGGCUCACCAAGGCGACGAUACAUAGCCGACCUGAGGGGGUGAUCGGCCAAACUGGGACUGAGACACGGCCCAGACUUCUACGGGAAGCAGCAGUAGGGAAUCUUCGGAAAUGGACGGAAGGCUGACCGAGCAACGCCGGGGGAGGGAAGAAGGGUUUCGGAUCGUAAAGCUCUGUUGUAAGGGAAGAAAGAGUGUGAGAGUGGAAAGUUCACGCUGUGACGGUAUCUUACCAGAAAGGGACGGCUAACUACGUG
rnacentral:rRNA from 1 species